UUAGGAGAUAAAAAUGACAAAGGAGAACCUCCUGAACAGAAUCCAGUUUGCCUUUAGCUUUAGCCAUCUCUCUGACCUCAGUGCUGCUGGACUCAGUUCCAAGAUCUAACUGUCAAAUGCUUUAAGGGAAAUGGGAGGAGGAGAAGUCCCUGGAGUAACCCGUGUAUGCAGCCUGGCACUGUUUUCAUUUGCCUUUGGAAAUGAAGGUGCAGAAACCAUGGGAGGAAUCUGAUGAAAUGCCUGGUCUAACAGGAAGGAUGCAGAGAAAGUUAUGAAGAGGGGGGGAUCCUGAGGAAUUUGCUCCUGGGCCGUGAAGAUGGGAAGCUGAGUCAGAGUGCAGUUCUUCACCCAAUCCCACAGCCACAUGUGCCUGCUUGCUCACGGGAUCUUCCCACUCUCCUCGGGAAGGCUUCCGAGCUGCUUCCUCAGGAUGUCCUGUGAUUGCAGCCUGACCUGUCAAAGCCAUGCGAAUACCAUCUGUUCAGUUAUAUAACUUGAGAUCUCAACAGGUGGGGUUUCACUACAUUGGCCAGGCUGGUCUUGAACUUCUGACCUCAGUGGCUUCUAGAAGAGUGAGUCUGGAAAAUACUGCCCCUACUUUCAAAUGGGAGAAAGCCUCCCUUGUACUAAGUUUGCAAUCAUUAGAAAACUGUUGAUAUACAGCAAAAGAAACUACCAUCAGAGUGAACAGGCAACCUACAGAAUGGGAGAAAAUUUUUGCAAUCUACUUAUCUGACAAAGGGCUAAUAUCCAGAAUCUAUAAAGAACUCAAACAAAUUUACAAGAAAAAACAAACAACCCCAUCAAAAAGUGGGCAAAGGAUAUGAACAGACACUUCUCAAAAGAAGACAUUUAUGUAGCCAACAGACACAUGAAAAAAUGCUCAUCAUCACUGGCCAUCAGAGAAAUGCCAAUCAAAACCACAAUGUGAUACCAUCUCACACCAGUUAGAAUGGCAAUCAUUAAAAAGUCAGGAAACAACAGGUGCUGGAGAGGAUGUGGAGAAAUAGGAACACUUUUACACUGUUGGUGGGACUGUAAACUGGUUCAACCAUUGUGGAAGACAGCGUGGUGAUUCCUCAAGGAUCUAGAACUAGAAAUACCAUUUGACCCAGCCAUCCCAUUACAGGGUAUAUACCCAAAGGAUUAUAAAUCAUGCUGCUAUAAAGACACAUGCACACGUAUGUUUAUUGUGGCACUAUUCACAAUAGCAAAGACUUGGAACCAACCCAAAUGUCCAUCAAUGAUAGACUAGUUUAAGAAAAUGUGGCACAUAUACACCAUGGAAUACUAUGCAGCCAUAAAAAAGGAUGAGUUCAUGUCCUUUGUAGGGACAUGGAUGAAGCUGGAAACCAUCAUUCUCAGCAAACUAUCGCAAGGACAAAAAACCAAACACCGCAUGUUCUCACUCAUAGGUGGGAAUUGAACAAUGAGAACACUUGGACACAGGAAGGGGAACAUCACACACUGGGGACUGUUGUGGGAUGGGGGGAGGGGAGAGGGAUAGCAUUAGGAGAUAUACCUAAUGUAAAUGACGAGUUAAUGUGUGCAGCACACCAACAUGGCACAUGUAUACAUACGCAACAAAUCUGCACGUUGUGCACAUGUACCCUAGAACUUAAAGUAUAAUAAAAAAUAAAAUAAAGAAAUAAAAUAAAA
rnacentral:lncRNA from 1 species